GACGAACGCUGGCGGCGUGCCUAAUACAUGCAAGUCGAACGCUUCUUUCCUCCCGAGUGCUUGCACUCGAUUGGAAAGAGGAGUGGCGGACGGGUGAGUAACACGUGGGUAACCUACCCAUCAGAGGGGGAUAACACUUGGUAACAGGUGCUAAUACCGCCUAACAGUUUAUGCCGCAUGGCAUAAGAGUGAAAGGCGCUUUCGGGUGUCGUUGAUGGAUGGACCCGCGGUGCAUUAGCUAGUUGGUGAGGUAACGGCUCACCAAGGCCACGAUGCAUAGCCGACCUGAGAGGGUGAUCGGCCACACUGGAACUGAGACACGGCCCAGACUCCUACGGGAGGCAGCAGUAGGGAAUCUUCGGCAAUGGACGAAAGUCUGACCGAGCAACGCCGCGUGAGUGAAGAAGGUUUUCGGAUCGUAAAACUCUGUUGUUAGAGAAGAACAAGGACGUUAGUAACUGAACGUCCCCUGACGGUAUCUAACCAGAAAGCCACGGCUAACUACGUG
rnacentral:rRNA from 1 species